rnacentral:rRNA from 1 species
GAGACUGCCAGUGAUAAACUGGAGGAAGGUGGGGAUGACGUCAAGUCAUCAUGGCCCUUACGACCAGGGCUACACACGUGCUACAAUGGCAUAUACAAAGAGAAGCGACCUCGCGAGAGCAAGCGGACCUCAUAAAGUAUGUCGUAGUCCGGAUUGGAGUCUGCAACUCGACUCCAUGAAGUCGGAAUCGCUAGUAAUCGUGGAUCAGAAUGCCACGGUGAAUACGUUCCCGGGCCUUGUACACACCGCCCGUCACACCAUGGGAGUGGGUUGCAAAAGAAGUAGGUAGCUUAACCUUCGGGAGGGCGCUUACCACUUUGUGAUUCAUGACUGGGGUGAAGUCGUAACAAGGUAACCGUAGGGGAACCUGCGGUUGGAUCACCUCCUU